UCCGUGAUAGAAACUCAGCUCUGGGCAGCACCGUCGCCUCAACAAUGAGGUUUUGUGUAACAACCUCUGCAGGUGUGCACUCUCUCCUUCCUCCUAGUUGCUUUGUUUUGUAAUUUGUUCUUCUGUUUUCCAGGAAAAGUCCAUGCUGAGGUUGGGGACUUGCUCCAAGUUCUAUUUUCUAUAGGGAGGAGCUAUCUUCAGUGCUGUCUUGGGCUCUGCUCUAUAAACCACACCAACCAGCCUGUGUUCUGGGUAGGCUGAUUCUUUACAGUGAAGUAAGAGCUUAGCUGGGCUGAGAGAGGACAGACAUAACCCGCUUAGGUACACUUCUUCCGCUGGAGGGGCUUUGUCCCAGGCCCUUCUCUGGGAUCUGGAGAGACUUGGGCAGGCCAAGGUGAGAACUUCAGCCUUAUCUCAAGGGAGUCGAUGUGCAGACCUUCUCCAUUCCCAGGAGGCGCUGAGGAGGAGGCAGGCUCCAGCCAGCAGUUUGCGUCUUGGACAAAUGGUAUAAGAUGUGUCUGAACAUUAUUUGGCAAAUGAGCAUCAUUCAUUAGUAUGGGCAGAGCCACAGGAAGAGGGAGAGUGUCUAAGGAGGAGUGAGAUGGGCCCCGGCAGGAAGGCAGGGGUGCCUUCUCAGGCCCCCAGGGAGCAGCCACCCAUUCUCUGAACAGUGGCAGGGAAGGAAAUUCAUCGCCUAGAGGAUGCCAGGCCUUCAGGGAUCAAUCUACCCACCCUCUUCCUCUUGAUGGCAUGUUCUGCUGUCAUUGGUGUCCUCCAUGUCUGAGAACCACCAUCCAUGUCGCCAUUACCUCUAAUUCAGCACUUUCUCUAGGUCCUCAGCAGCUUCUCAGGCACUUGCCACACACGGACUUCCCUGUUGAUGCAGCCAACUGCAGGUCCAUGAUAUUCCCGCUUCCAGGUAGGAGGGAGGAGUGAUAGAGACCACUGUCCUGGGAGACCUUGCUCAAGCAGAACAGGAACCCCUCCCUCCGCUCUUUAUGCAAGUGGCUAAACCUUGUAGUUGCUCUGAGAAAGAAAUUCAACUGAAAACUUAAAGAAAACACCUUGAGGAAAAAAAAAAAAAACCUGACUCUCCCUCCUGCGAAGA